rnacentral:rRNA from 1 species
AUGUCCAUGCAGUACUAGUCCAUCGAGGGGGCGCAAGAGGUGCUCGGCGACAAGGUGUGCGUCGACCGGCUCGACAGCCGCACGCUGGAGCGCGACCACACCAAGACCUUUGCCUGCUGGGUCUGGGUGUGGGACAUGGAUUUCAUCCCCACCAGGCACACCUACUGGAAGCUUCCGCGGGGCGCCGGUCGGGUGGAGGAGACGGUUGGUUUCUCUCCGCCGGACCGCAGAGUGGCGCCUCCUUCGGGCGCGACGCGGUUCGACCUCCUCAUCCACAUCGAUCUCAUCGAAGACUGG